AUCAAAAUCUAAUCUGACCGUUUAUCACGCGGUUCAUUUGAAACCCAUUUUUUUUACCAAAAAUUUUCUCUCUUUUCUCCUUUCUUCUCUCUUCUCUCUCUUUCCUUUCUCUUCUGGAACAUUUUUCUCUCCUCUAAGCUGAAUCUUCUUCUUGUUUGCAGCGUUUUUCAUCCUCAAUUUAUAAUUCCAAACCAUUUAUAAUUGCAACAAACAGACAAUUGAGUGCGCUUCACCCAGUUUCAAACUUCUGCAUCCUCACUUCUGUGAUACAAUGCCUGUUAAUACAAUAGCUCGUCAGAUUGCUCUUAAUGCUGAUGGAUUGUUUGAGGCAACUGUAUUUUCGAGGAAGUAUGUUGGACAAUGGAUAUCCCAAAUGUAUAAGAACUGGGUAUUAACUGAGCAAGCUUUUCCUAGAGACCUUAUCAAGAGAGGAAUGGCACGCAGUCAGUGACUUGAAAAGCCCUCGUGGAUACAAGCUACUGAUAGAGGACUACCCAUAUGUUGUUGAUGGGAUUAAAAUAUGGGCUGCAAUCAUGACUUGGGUUAAAGAGUAUUUGUUCAUUUUACUGUUGUUCUUUGUAGUGUAAAAUCAAGGUUUUCGACUUAACUGCGCCAAUCACGAGGUUUUUUAAGGGGCGACGUGAUUUACUGGCGAGGACGCGAGUUAUCCUCCUCCUUUGGGUUUUGUUUGCUCCUUCAUGGUCGGAUCUGGAGAACUUCGCGACGGUGUUGUUUGUUUUGGACGGUGAUGCUCAUGUGUUUUGGGUUAAUUAACCAAAAGUUACCCUAAAAGUGGUAAUAGUUACACUUAUAUAAAUAAAGCUACCCUUGAAAUAUGUAGGACUACCCUUAAUAUAAUAAAGUUAUCCCAAAAUUGAUAAAAGUUACCCUAAAAGUGUUAAAUGUUACCCUUUAUAACCUUGGCAUAUGUAAAGUCAUUCUUAAUAUAAUAUUGUUACCCCACAACUGGUAAAAGUUACCCUUAAAAUAUAGGAAAAAUUGACAAUAAAGGUCUGAACUAUGGGUGAUAAUUUUUAAAAAGUCUGAACUAUUGAUUAACCUGUGUAGGUCCCAACUUUAGGGGGUCUUAACUUUUAGCGGGCCUCGACGACUUAAAACUGAAGAUUUUUUUUUAAAAUCUCACCUAGUUCCUACGUCCCUCCCUCAAUUAACCCUUCUGAUGUGACCCAAGUUUUACAGUUGAUGACCUAUUAAGCCAGUUUUAAGUCACUAAGGCCCGCUAAAAGUUAAGACCCCCCAAAGUUGGAACCUACACAGGUUAAUCAAUAGUUCAGACCUUUUAAAAAUUAUCACCCAAAGUUCAGACCUCUAUUGUUAAUUUAUCCUAAAAUAUAUAAAAGUUGCCCUUGAAAUAUAUAAAGUUAUCCUUAAUAUAAUCUAGUUACCCUAAAACUGGUAGAAGUUACCCUUAAAAUAUAUAAAGUUGCCUUAAAAGUGGUAAAAGUUACCCUGUUUUCAGUUUUCAGAUUAAAAGUUGUUUUCAGCGGAUCC